AAGUGGUUCUGUGCAUUAUAAGUGGUUCUGUGAUUGCUGUGAAGCCAUCUGUGGCAACCUCUCUACCUAAAGACCCCCAAAUCCUAAUGACAUUUUUGAACAAUAAGUCUCAAUGACUGAAGAUUUUGCCAGUUGGAGUUUCUUGCAAUGGGACGCUGCCCCCGAGGUUUUGAACUUGUCAUCUCCUGUUGUGGGGAACACCUCUUGAAAAGCCGCUAUUAGUUUGCUACCGGGGAAUGACUGACCUAUGGAGGCCUUGUGACUCUUUUGCCUGUACCAAAUUAUUCCUAUUUAGAGACUCAAUGACCUAGCAAGGUGGGAAGGGUCCAACAUGCUCAUUUGUCAAGUAGUAACGGUAUAUUUCAGGUGUACUUCCCACCUCCAUUCUCACAAUGGUCGUUCAGUCAUUCCGUGGGUUGAAUGGAUAUCAUCCAGUUGGCGGCUUACACAAACAGGAUAAAUUGGAUUCACUACCCUAAGGCAGCUCCUCCAAAAUAAGGAGUAGACUUACUUAUCUAAACUGGUCUGGGACUCCUUCAUUGCAUAAGCCAGCCAAGAAGCCACAUUGGAGGCACUGUCAAUCUGUGCCCCUCAACUGAUAUGUAAGUGCAACUUGGACAAUUAACUUGCCUUCUUCCUGAAAACAAUGUGACUUGCACUUUAGGGGUGGUAAUGAGAGACCUGCAAAUGUUUACGGAAACAUCACCAGUAGAUCAUGUAUCCCUCAAGUGAUUGCAAUUAUCUCUUCAAAGUGCAAAUAUUGGAUAUUCAAGAGAACUUCCUGAUGGGAUGACUGACUUAUUACAUAUGUGCAGCUGAUGCAGGCAGUUAUCCCCAAUUAGAGUUAUUCAAUUAGAAAAGGUAAUAUUUCUUCUUGAAUUUAGCUUACACUUUCAAUGAUAUCACCUUGACCCUGGAGAUAUCCAGGUCAGCUUCAACUCAAUGGCCAGGGUUAUUAUGGGUGAUAGAAUUGUCCUAGACUUCCACUUUGCAGGCCAGAGCAGUGUGGGCAAUUGCUAAUACAACUUGCUCUACCCAUAUUAAUGUCUCAAGCCAAGUGAAAAGGUCAGCAGGAUCUUAAGAGGAAAAUCACCUGGCUUUCAAAGGUAAAUCCUAGCAGUUUAUGGGAUUUGUUUAGCUGGUUGGGUCUAGGACCUUAGGGGGCAUGGUUGAGUUUACUGUUACGUUAUUGGUGUCAUCCUAUUGUUUGGAGUCUUCAUUAUCUUUCUUAUCAAAGUGUUACUUUUAAGAUAUCUGAUAAGAAUCUGAUUCAGAUUCUUUGUUCCUUUAUAUGUAACAGAUAUUUCUGUAAGCUUUUAGAAUUACUUGUUUACAUUUCAUGUAAUUAAAAAUUUUUAUUUGAUUGAA
rnacentral:lncRNA from 1 species